rnacentral:rRNA from 1 species
GACGAACGCUGGCGGCGUGCCUAAUACAUGCAAGUCGAACGGAAAGACCCUGCUUUUGCGGGGUGCACGUUAGGCGAACGCGUGAGUAACACGCGUGUAUCAUGUACUUGUCUUUGGGAUAACUCCAGGAAACUCCGGCUCUAACCGGGUAGGAUCUCUUGAUGCACGGUGGUGGAUGGAAAGUUUCGGCGGUUGGGGAUGGACUAGCUGCUUCUGAGCUUGAUUGUCGAGUAGUUGCUUACCAAGGUUUUGACGGGUAGGCGGCCUGGGAGGGGUACCAGCGACAAUGCGACUGAGAUACGGCGCAGUCUCCUACGGGAGGCAGCAGUGGGAAAUAUUGCGCAAUGAGGGGAAGCCAGAUGCAGCAACGCCGCGUGCGGGAUAAUGUCCUACGGGGGAUAAACCGCUUUCGCCGGUAACGUAGCGGGAGUGACGGUAAUGAAUAAAGAAGCACCGGCUAACUACGUG